AUCGAGGUGUCAGAGUAAUGAGAUGAAUUUAAGCUUCAUUAACGAGGAAAGCACUCCUCCCUCGAAU
rnacentral:tRNA from 1 species